UUUCCCGGUUGAUCCCGCUGGACCUGACUGCUAUCGGAUUGAUAUUAAGCCAUGCGAGUCAUUGUAGUAAUACAAGGCAGACGGCUCAGUAACGCGUAGUCAACCUACCCUAUGGACGGGGAUAACCUCGGGAAACUGAGAAUAAUACCCGAUAGAACAUUAUACCUGGAAUGGUUUAUGUUUCAAAUAAUUUAUUGCCGUAGGAUGGGACUGCGGCCUAUCAGUUUGUUGGUGAGGUAAUGGCCCACCAAGACUAUUACAGGUACGGGCUCUGAGAGGAGUAGCCCGGAGAUGGGUACUGAGACACGGACCCAGGCCCUAUGGGGCGCAGCAGGCGAGAAAACUUUGCAAUGUGCGAAAGCACGACAAGGUUAAUCCGAGUGGUUUCUGCUAAAGGAACCUUUUGUCAGUCCUAGAAACACUGGUGAAUAAGGGGUGGGCAAGUUCUGGUGUCAGCCGCCGCGGUAAAACCAGCACCUCAAGUGGUCAGGAUGAUUAUUGGGCCUAAAGCAUCCGUAGCCUGCUUUGUUAGUUUUCGGUUAAAUCCAUACGCUUAACGUAUGGGCUGCCGGGAAUACUGCAAAGCUAGGGAGUGGGAGAGGUAGACGGUACUCGGUAGGAAGGGGUAAAAUCCUUUGAUCUAUUGAUGACCACCUGUGGCGAAGGCGGUCUACCAGAACACGUCCGACGGUGAGGGAUGAAAGCUGGGGGAGCAAACCGGAUUAGAUACCCGGGUAGUCCCAGCUGUAAACUAUGCAAACUCGGUGAUGCAUUGGCUUGAUGCCAAUGCAGUGCCGCAGGGAAGCCGUUAAGUUUGCCGCCUGGGAAGUACGUACGCAAGUAUGAAACUUAAAGGAAUUGGCGGGGGAGCACCACAAGGGGUGAAGCCUGCGGUUCAAUUGGAUUCAACGCCGGA
rnacentral:rRNA from 1 species